rnacentral:rRNA from 1 species
CAGCCGCCGCGGGAAUACGUAGGUGGCAAGCGUUGUCCGGAAUUAUUGGGCGUAAAGGGCUCGCAGGCGGUUUCUUAAGUCUGAUGUGAAAGCCCCCGGCUCAACCGGGGAGGGUCAUUGGAAGCUGGGAAACUUGAGUGCAGAAGAGGAGAGUGGAAUUCCACGUGUAGCGGUGAAAUGCGUAGAGAUGUGGAGGAACACCAGUGGCGAAGGCGACUCUCUGGUCUGUAACUGACGCUGAGGAGCGAAAGCGUGGGGAGCGAACAGGAUUAGAGACCCCCGUAGUCCCUGUCUCUUAUAC